rnacentral:rRNA from 1 species
GUCUAUGGCCAUGCCACUCUGAACAAGCCCGAUCCCAUCUGAUCUCGGAAGCUAAGCAGGGCCUGGUUAUUACUUGGAUGGGACACAACCUAGGAAGACCAGGUGCUGUAGGUG